rnacentral:rRNA from 1 species
AACGAACGCUGGCGGCAUGCCUAACACAUGCAAGUCGAACGAGACCUUCGGGUCUAGUGGCGCACGGGUGCGUAACGCGUGGGAACCUGCCCUUAGGUUCGGAAUAACUCCCCGAAAGGGGUGCUAAUCCCGGAUAAUGUCUUCGGACCAAAGAUUUAUCGCCUUUGGAUGGGCCCGCGUUGGAUUAGCUAGUUGGUAGGGUAAAAGCCUACCAAGGCGACGAUCCAUAGCUGGUCUGAGAGGAUGAUCAGCCACACUGGGACUGAGACACGGCCCAGACUCCUACGGGAGGCAGCAGUGGGGAAUAUUGGACAAUGGGCGAAAGCCUGAUCCAGCAAUGCCGCGUGAGUGAUGAAGGCCUUAGGGUUGUAAAGCUCUUUUACCCGGGAUGAUAAUGACAGUACCGGGAGAAUAAGCUCCGGCUAACUCCGU